UAUGUGAUCGUCUCUCGCAUAUCAAUAAGCGGAGGAAAAGAAACUAACAAGGACUCCCCUAGUAACGGCGAGUGAAGCGGGAAGAGCUCAAAUUUGAAAUCUUAAAGGGUUUCCCUUUACGAAUUGUAGUUUAAAGAAGUGUUUUCUGUUGAGGUUUUGGUAAAAGUUCUUUGGAAUAGGACAUCAUAGAGGGUGAGAAUCCCGUAUUUGACCUUUACUUUCAACUUUGUGAUACACUUUCAAAGAGUCGGAUUGUUUGGGAAUGCAGUCCAAAAUGGGUGGUAAAUUUCAUCUAAAGCUAAAUAUUGGCGAGAGACCGAUAGCGAACAAGUACCGUGAGGGAAAGAUGAAAAGAACUUUGAAAAGAGAGAUUAAACAGUACGUGAAAUUGUCAAAAGGGAAGCGUUUGACACCAGUGUUGUUUUUCUGAAAAUCAAUUAAAGAACUGUUUAUGCUAAGUUGUUUAGACUUUAUCAGCUAUCUGUUUAGUUUUGAGCUUUUCUUUAAUGCACUUUUCAGUUAACAAGUCAACAUCAAUUUCUUUUGCUGUAAAAAAGCUUGAGGAAGGUGGCUUGAGAUUCGUCUUAAGUGUUUAGUAGCCUCUUGCCUAUGCAGUCGGAGAGAUUGAGGUCUGCAGCGUAGAUCCUUCGGGGCUAAAUGCAUUUGUGCUAAGUUAUAGCAUUUUAUAGACAACUUGUUGACUAUGAUUUGAUCUUGUAGCUUACUCGCUUAUGUUAUUUUACCUACGCUUAGGAUGUUGAUAUCGCGCUCUCACUG
rnacentral:rRNA from 1 species